GUCCUCAUCUUGAACUUUUAAAGGUGCUCGUGGUAAACUUUAAAGGGUCCCUACAACCGACUUUAUAGGAUUUCUACCAUGAGCUUUUAAGGGUCUUUGCCACAAAUCUCUAAACGUCUUCAUCACGAGCUUUUAAAAGUCUUCACCGCGAACUUUUAAAGGCCUUCAUUGCUUUAUUUUAAGGGUCUUCGCACGAAAUUUAAAGGUAUUCAUCGCGUUCUUUUAAAGGUCUUCACCGCGAAAUUAUAAGGUCUUCAUCCCGUAUUUUUAAGGGUCUUACCCAUGAACUUGUAAAGGUCUUUAUUGUGUGCUUGUAAAAGUCUUCAUCUCAUGAUUUUAAGGGCCUUCGCCAUGAACUUUUAAAGGUCUUCAGUCGAGCUUUAAAAGGUCUUCACAGUGAACUUUUAAAGAUCUUAGCUACGAGCUUUUAAGGAUUUUCGCGCGAACUUUUAUGGGUCUUCCCCGCAAAAUAUUAAAGGUAUUCAUCGCGAACUUUUACAAGUCUUCAUUGUGAGCUUUUAAAGGUCUUCAAUGUGAACUUUUAAACAUAUUUGACCAUGAGCUUUUAAGAAUCUUCACGCGAACUUUGAUGGGUCUUCCCCGCAAAUUUUAAAGUUAUUAUCGUGAACUUUUACAGGUCUUCAUUGCGAGCUUCUAAAGGUCUUCAAUGUGAACUUCAACAGAUCUUGACCACGAGCUUUUAAGGAUCUUCGCGCAAAAUUUUAUUGGUCUUCUCCGCAAAUUUUGAAGGUAUUCGUCACGAAAUUUUACAUGUCUUCAUUGUGAGCUUUUAAAGGUCUUCAAUGUGAAAUUUUAAAGAUCUUGACCAUGAGCUUUUAAGGAUUUUUGCACGAACUUUUAUGGGUCUUUGCUGCAAUUUUAAAGGUAUCCGUUGCGAACUUUUAAAGGUCUUGACUAUGAAUUUUUAAGGAUCUUCGCGCGAACUUGUAUGGAUCUUCCCCGCAAAUUUUAAAGAUCUUCAUCACAAACUUUUAAAGGCCUUCGUCUCGAACUUAUAAAGAACUUUGUAAUUUGACGAAGUUACUUAAAAAAAGAAAAAGAAAAGACAGUAAAUACACCAAGAAAGAAAGCAUAAGAGAAAAGAAUACCUUCGCGUUAAUGCAUUCGAAUUGUGAAAGGUAGACUCGAUGUGGACUGCAAAUCCAUCAAUUGAUGCCAACUGAAUGAAAGGAAUGACCUAUUUAUAGGU
rnacentral:lncRNA from 1 species